rnacentral:rRNA from 1 species
CCUACGGGAGGCAGCAGUGGGGAAUAUUGCACAAUGGGGGAAACCCUGAUGCAGCAACGCCGCGUGAGUGAUGAAGUAUUUCGGUAUGUAAAGCUCUAUCAGCAGGGAAGAAGAUGACGGUACCUGUGUAAGUAGCUCCGGCUAACUACGUGCCAGCAGCCGCGGCAAUACGUAGGGGGCAAGCGUUAUCCGGAUUUACUGGGUGUAAAGGGAGCGUAGACGGUUUGACAAGUCUGAAGUGAAAGUUUGGGGCUCAACCUCGAGACUGAAUGUGAAACUGGCAGACUGGAGUGCUGGAGAGGCAAGCGGAAUUCGUGGUGUAGCGGUGAAAUGCGUAGAUAUUAGGAAGAACACCGAUUGCGAAGGCAGCUUACUGAACAGUAACUGACAUUGAUGCUCGAAAGCGUGGGGAGCAAACAGGAUUAGAUACCCCGGUAGUC